rnacentral:misc_RNA from 1 species
UUUAUAAAAAAAAAAAAAUUAAAACCCUAUACACCUCUUCUGCUUAAUAUUCAUCAUUGUAAAAUUUAAUAACUCGGCAACAUUUUUUUUUUUUUUACCAUACUAGCAAGUGAUGAAAUAGGUAGAAUUUUAACUUAGUGAUGACCAAUGCAACUAAUUUAACAAUAGCAUCAUGGCAUGUACAACUUGUUUCCACAUUUGCACCUCCAUGCUUCUGGGUAGUACUCAGUUGUAACCGGAGUUCCAGGCGGCACCGGCACAUGCACCGGCUUACACGGAGUGCAUUUGUCGCACUUGGAGGUGCAUCGCGGUGGUGACGAUCCAGGGCCACUUAAAAUUCCCCUUCUUGUACUCGAGGAAAAUCCCAUGUUUUCCUCAUCUCUUCUCUUCACAAAAUCCUAUAAAACCAUCCAUUGUCCAAUCAUUAAUACUAGAAUAGCAUAUUAAAAAAAACCAUAAAAAUUGUAAAGCGAGAGUGAAAUUUUUUAAAAAUUAUGAGAUGUAGAAUUUAAAUUUAAUUAAAACUAAAUAAAUUUAGAAAAAAAAGGUGCUAGCAUGCGCCCAAAACUCAAGGGAAAGUAGGACAAAAGGAAGAAAAUGAAUAAUUUUUAACUACCAUGAGCUGGGUUGUGUUUUGCGCUUAAUAUGCUGAACGUUAAAAAGUGGACCACUACGGUAGUGUGUUGCCUAAUCAUGGUUGGUGACUCCAUGGAUCUGACGGUUGAGAUCAAUGCCAGCGGCAUAGUUCUGCAGCUGUCUUUUGGCGCAUUUUAGCCCGUAUAAAUUGUCUGUUUAUUGACGAGAAAUGGGAAAAAGGUCUUGUACACAGUAAACGUACAAUAAUUGAGUCACUUGAAACUUUGACUCCAAUUAUAUAUUCUUGCCCAAUAUUUUGUAUUAUAAAUAAUUUUUUUUUAUU